rnacentral:rRNA from 1 species
CAGUAGCCACGGGAAUACGUAGGUGGCGAGCGUUGUCCGGAAUCAUUGGGCGUAAAGGGAGCGCAGGCGGGCCGGUAAGUCUUACUUAAAAGUGCGGGGCUCAACCCCGUGAUGGGAGAGAAACUAUCGGUCUUGAGUACAGGAGAGGAAAGCGGAAUUCCCAGUGUGGCGGUGAAAUGCGUAGAUAUUGGGAAGAACACCAGUGGCGAAGGCGGCUUUCUGGACUGCAACUGACGCUGAGGCUCGAAAGCCAGGGGAGCGAACGGGAUUAGAUACCCGCGUAGUCCCUGUCUCUUAUACA